CGGAACACGCAUAGAACCAAAACAAAACCAACAGCAAGAAAACCAUUUUUAAAACUCAACAACAGAAGCUUAACAACACCUAAAAUGCACUACGGUCACAAUGCAAAAAGAAUCACUCGAUUCCGAUAAACGGUUUGAGAGUUAUGGCCUCUGGAAGAUUUAUUUCAAAUUCAAACGAAUUCAAAUUUGAAAAGUGCAAACAUGUGCAAAGUCGGUACUGUGAUAAUGUGCUGAUUUUUGUGAGGUCAUAGGAAAAAGAAUCACCUAAUUUGGACAUAUAGGUUAAAAGAUAUAGCUAGUUGAAGUUUUGGUGAAAAUCUGAAAAUAAAACAAAAGAAAACUCUGUUCAGGAAACACUGUAGCGGUUACUGUGGCGUUUACUGUAGCGGUGCCAAGUGUCAACGCAUGAUUGGCUGGAAAAUUUACAUGCGCGCAUGCUCACCAGCAAAGCAGAGAAAACGGAGGCGGUUCUCUCGCGGGUCUCCGGCGAAGGUGAGGUUACGGGCGGAGGCGGCUUCGAGUUGCGGACGCAGUGGUGAGGUCAAAACGACGACGGGGUGUGCUCUGCGGGCGACGGUGACGACGUGAACAGCCGCUGCUCCGGCGGCGUCGGGUUCACUCGGGCGGCUCGCUCCGCUGCGAUUCCGGCGACAAAAAUAUGUCAGCAAGGUGCGGCAUUGAGCGGAGGGUCGAGGGGAGUGAACGGUGUGGCAGGUGGUGUCCUUACGGUGGCCGAAACGACCAGCGAAUACGGCGGCGGCUCGAGCUCCACCGCGAGAUGCGUUUCGCCCUAGCUGCUCGUGCGGACGAGGAAAGGACGGAGAUGGGCUGCGGUAGGGUUCUUCGGGGCCCUGGGCUCGCGCGUGAUGUACCUGGCACGCACGGGAUCGACCAGGCGCCGGAUCGAUCCGGGUCGGCCUUGGCGUGUGCGCGGCGGCGCGUCCGGCUCGGGGAAGGAGAAAGCGGCGUGGGGCCCACGGUCAGUGGCUGAGGCGAGCUGGCGGAUCAGGUGCGCGUCGGGCACGGGCGGCGCGGCGCGUACCGCUUCGCGUAGAUAGGUGGGCUGGGCGAUGAUAGGCUGCUCGGCCGUGGCCAGUGCGGGGUUAGGUGGGCUGCGGGUGCCGGCAGCUCUGCUGGGCCGCGCAGUGCGCUGCGCUGCGGUUUUCCUUUUGAAUAAACCACAACAGUUAAAAACAAACUAAAAUAAAACAACAUAAUAAAACCUAAAAAAUAUACACACGGUAAAAUAUAUAUACUAUUAAUAUAUACUAUAGGAACAACUAGUUCCUACCUAAUGCAAUUUUUGUAAAAUAAUUUUGAUGCAAUAGGCCAUACAAAACAGCAAUAAAACAAACAAAUAAAAUAUUUUGGAGAUUAAGAAAAAUACCAGAACAUAUCGGAUGAACUGGAAAUAAUAUUCUGGACAUUAUGAACAUUUUUAAAACAGGGGAGAAGUCAUGUUAUCUCCACUCCAAUAAAUUGCAUUUGUUGCAUAAUGAUUCGAAUAUUCAGAAAAAGCAAAUAAUGCAAUAAAAAUAUGAUAUGCAUAUGUAUGAUCUAUUAACAUCCACAUUUAGGAAAAUUGGGAUGUUACAAACCUACCCCCCUUAAGAUGAAUCUCGCCCUCAAGAUUCGGGCUGGCUAGCAAAUAGGUGUGGGUAAUCCUGCCUGAGAUCUUCCUCUCGUUCCCAGGUAGCUUCCUCCUCUGUGUGAUGAUCCCACUGAACCUUGCAUAACUUGAUUGUCUUGGUGCGAGUAAUUCUCUCUGCUGUCUCCAGAAUCUUAACAGGCUUCUCCUCAUAUGUCAAAUCACUCUCCAACUGAAUUGCCUCAAGUGGCACUGUGUCCCUCCAUGGAAUAUCCAUCAUCUCUGCAUGGCACUUCUUCAACUGAGAUACAUGAAACACAUUAUGAACUCCCGACAAGGAUUCUGGCAACUCCAGCUGAUAAGCUACCUCUCCUCUACGCUCCAAGAUCUUGUAAGGCCCCACAAAACAUGGUGCUAACUUACCCUUAAUUCCUAACCUCUUAAUUCCACGAAGUGGUGAAACUCUAAGAUAUGCACGGUCUCCUACCUCAUAUGUCACCUCCUUACAUUUUGCAUCAGCAUAACUCUUCUGCCUGGACUGUGCUAUCUUCAGCCUGUCACGAAUCAACUUGACCUUCUCCUCAGCAUCUCUAAUCAAGUCUGGUCCAAAGAACUGACGUUCUCCAACCUCAUCCCACAUCAACGGUGUCCUGCACUUCCUACCAUACAAUACCUCAAAUGGUGCCAUCUUCAGACUAGCCUGAUAACUGUUAUUAUAUGAGAACUCUGCAUAAGGUAAAUUAUCAUCCCAACUGGACCCAUAGUCCAAAGCACAAGCUCUCAACAUAUCCUCCAAAAUCUGAUUUACCCUCUUUGUCUGCCCAUCUGUCUGUGGGUGGAAAGCUGUACUGAACUCCAGCCUGGUGCCCAAGGAUUCAUGCAACUGACGCCAAAAUUUGGAUGUGAACUGAGUACCUCUAUCAGACACUACCUUCCUUGGAACUCCAUGCAGACAAACAAUUUUAGACAUAUAAAUCUUUGCUAGCUGAGCACUGGUAUAAGUAGUCUUUACUGGGAUGAAGUGAGCAACUUUAGUCAAACGAUCAACAACUACCCAAAUAGAAUCAUAACCUGAUCGAGUCCUGGGUAGACUUGUAAUGAAAUCCAUACCAAUCUCAUCCCACUUCCAAUCAGGUAUAGGCAAUGGCUGUAACAAACCUGCUGGUCUUUGAUGUUCCGCCUUAACUCUCUGGCACACAUCACAUGUUGCAAUAUAUCCAGCAAUUUCCCUCUUCAGGCUAGGCCACCAAAAUCUUUCCCUCAAAUCCAAAUACAUCUUAGUAUUACCUGGGUGAAUAGAAUAAGGUGAAUCAUGCGCCUCCUGAAGAAUCAACUUCCUGAUAUCUGCAUCUUGAGGUACACAAAUACGCUUCUCAAACCAUAUGGCUCCAUGUUCAUCCUCAUGGAAACCUUCUGCCUUACCUUUAACCAUAUUCUCUUUUAUCUCAGCAAUCUCCUUAUCAUUCUUUUGAGCUUCUCUGAUCCUAUCAAGCAAAGUAGGCUUUACCUCAAGUGUUGCUAAAUAUCCCAUAGGAACCAUCUCCAACCUGAGAUUCCUGAACUGCUCACAUAACUCCGGUGGCAUAUCAUCAAUAUUUAUUGCAUUAGCAUGGCUCCUACGACUCAAUGCAUCAGCAACAACAUUAGCCUUACCAGGAUGAUACUGCACAUUCAAAUCAUAAUCUUUAAUAAGCUCCAACCAUCUCCUCUGCCUGAGGUUCAAAUCCUUUUGAGUAAAAAUAUACUUCAAGCUCUUAUGAUCAGUAAAUAUAUCACAAUGAUUACCAAUAAGAUAUGGCCUCCAAGUUUUCAAUGCAUGCACAACUGAGGCUAGCUCCAAAUCAUGUGUAGGAUAAUUAUGCUCAUGAUUCUUAAGCUAACGUGAAGCAUAUGAAACAACUUUACCUUCCUGCAUCAAAACACUCCCAAGUCCUUGACGAGAAGCAUCACAAUAUACUUGGAAGUCCUUAUGUAUAUCCGGCAGAGUUAAGACUGGUGCUGUAACCAAACGCUGCUUCAACUCCUGAAAACUGGCUUCACAUUCAUCAGUCCAAACAAAUUUCUUUUCUUUCUUCAGCUAUUCAGUCAUAGGCUUUGCAAUCUUAGAAAAGUUCUCAAUAAACCUCCUGUAGUAACCUGCAAGGCCCAAAAAGUUGCGAAUCUCUCCAACUGUCGUGGGUGUCUCCCACUCUGUAACUGCAGCAACCUUAGAUGGAUCAACUGCAACUCCAUUACCUGACACAACAUGUCCAAGGAAAGCUACCUCAUCCAGCCAAAACUCACAUUUGCUGAACUUGGCAUACAACUGAUGUUCCCUCAGUUUCUCCAAUACCAAACGCAGAUGCACCUCAUGCUCUUGCUUAUUCUUGGAGAAUACCAAUAUAUCAUCAAUGAAAACAACCACAAAUUUAUCCAGGAACUCCAUAAACACCUUGUUCAUCAUAUUCAUGAAGUAUGCAGGAGCGUUAGUCAAUCCAAAUGACAUAACAGUAUAUUCAUACAACCCAUACCUCGUAGUAAAAGCAGUCUUUGGAAUAUCUUGCUCACGAAUCUUCAAUUGAUGAUAACCAGAACGGAGAUCAAUCUUAGAAAACACAAUAGCUCCCUCCAACUGGUCAAACAGAUCAUUUAUCAUAGGCAAAGGAUACUUAUUCUUAAUGGGUACCUCAUUCAGAGAACGAUAAUCAACACACAUCCUCAAGGUCCCAUCCUUCUUCUCCACAAACAAAACUGGAGCUCCCCAAGGUGAUGAACUUGGGCAAAUAAAUCCUUGUGCCUGCAAUUCUCUUAUCUGCUUCUUCAAUUCCUCCAACUCUCGAGGUGGCAUUCUAUACGGUCUCUUUGCAAUAGGUCCAGUGCCUAGUAUUAAAUCAAUAAGAAACUCAAUAUCUCUAUCUGGUGGCAUACCUGGCAACUCCUCUGGAAACACAUCUGGAUAAUCCCUCAUGACUGGCACCUCUUCCAGGCUACCCCCCUUAAGAGAGUUCACUUGCACCUGAUUACGCUUAUACUUACACACAUAUUUGAUCCUCUUCCCUCCUGGUGCACUGAGAGUGAUAGACCGACUAGCACAAUCAAUACGACCUUUAUAUAACUGCAACCAAACCAUACCCAAAAUAAUAUCCAGACCUUGUGACUUUAAUAUAAUCAAAUCUGUAGGAAACUCAUGCUUCCCAAUAGACAACGCCAACUGAUGACAACCAACACCUGCUAUCAUCUCAGCUCCUGGGGAACUCACUCUAAUAGGCAUACUAAGUGUUUUGGUUGGCAAUCCAUGUUUAUCAACAAAUACCCUCGAAAUGAAUGAAUGCGAUGCACCAGUAUCAAAAAGAACAACUGCAGGUACUGAAUUAAUCAAGAACUUACCAAUCACUACAUCAGGUUCAUUGUAAACCUCCUCCACAUUAACAUGAUUUACAUGACCCUUUUGGAAGGGGUUUGGCUUGCUGGAUCUUGAGUUCUUCGCCCCUGGGCAAUCUGUGGCAUAGUGCCCCAUAGCCUUACACCUGAAGCACUGCACCUGACUCAAAUCCCUUGGCGCACGUGUAACCUGGUGGUUCUGGUUAUUGUUCCCUCCAUUGCCAUUGCCAUUAGCAUUAGCAUUACCAUUACCAUUACCUCUGCCAUUGCCAUUGUUACUCUUGUGCCCAUUAUGAUGAUGGUGGCCAUUAUGGUUGUGGCCAUUCCCUCCAUGAUGAUUAUGAUCAUUACCUCCAUGAUGAUUAUGAUGCCCAUUACCUCCAUUACCAUGAUAUGAAGUGCGUGGCUUCUGCUGUGGUCCUGAAUUAUACCUGUUAUUGUUGUUGUACUUCCUCUUGCGAUUCUCUAUGGCCUGUUGCUUUCCCUCCAGCACAAUAGCCUUAUUAAUCAGGUCCUGACAAUUCCUAAAAGUGGCCACUGUCAACUGAAGGCUCAACUCAUCAUUAAGGCCCUCCAAGAAUUUCUCCUGCCUAGCUGCAUCAGUGUUAACAUUAUUAGGAGCAUAACGUGCAAGAUUAUUAAAUUCCUCCACAUACGCAUUAACUGUGCGACCUCCCAGGUGCAAACUGCGGAACUCCUUCUUUUUCAGACUCAUAGCACCAGCAGACACAUGUGCAGCACGAAAAGCAUCCUAAAACUGAGGCCAUGUGAUAGUAGCAAUGGGAUAAGUGACCAAGUAGUUGUCCCACCAAGCUGCAGCAGGACCCUCCAACAAAUGUGAGGCAAACCUCACCCUCUCUGCAUCAGUGCAUCCAACCGUCUCCAGGUUCCUAUUAACUGCACGGAGCCAAUCAUCAGCCACAAUAGGUUCAGGGGAACUGGAGAACCUCUGAGGAUUCAACCUCAAGAACCUGGUAAGCAUAUCCACUGGUGGCGGCGGCGGCGGAUUGUUGUUGUUCUGGUUCUGGACAAGCAACUGGAUCAACUGAGCCUGUCCCUGAAGCAACUGCUGCAUGUAUGGCGGUACAUCAUUGCCAUUGUUGUCUCCUCCUGCAGCAUUACGCCUAUUAUCACACCUCGGCGGCAUCUGGUGGGCAAGCAUAGAUGAGUUAUAGAUAUAAUAGGGCCAAACGCUAUGUAUAUAUAAAUAUAUUCUACCCAUAUGCAUAAUAUGAUCAAGCCAACAAAACACAACAACGAAUAAUAGCAACAAACAAACAAACAACAAACAAUAUGAUAAUAUUAUAUAUAUAUAUAGUCGAAUAAUUUCGACACUAAGCAAUUUAACAAACAACUACCAAUCAAGCAGACAAUCUAGUAUCUUCAUACCACGAAAGUGGGCAUAAUCAGAUACACUAACACAAUAACGUUGCAAUAUAAAGCGAGCCUGAAUGGUGGUCUCAGCACUAGUUCCUACUUAACUGUUCAAGAUACUUGAGGGGGUUAACUAAUAAACAGCAAGAAGUUUAGCUGGUUUAUAAAAUAAUCUUCACUCCUAUGGCUUUUCUAAUCCAUUUUCUAGGGUCACGUCCUACAGUCAACACACAGCUCUGAUGCCAUCUGUAACGACCACACCUCGAAGGAUUUGAGUCUCUGUGCUUACCGUGCUAGUCCCUGGAUCAAACUCGCUAGCACACACAGUAUAGAUGAAUACCAGAAUAGCAAGUGCAUCAUUUAUUACAACGUAUGAUCCAGAAUAUAUAAAAUAAAACAAUCUGCAUAGCACUUGGCUAGCUUUAUUCAAUCAAACAGCGGAAAGUAGCAGAAAAUAACAAUGAGUCCCAUCAUAGCCCACUGGCGAUGCUGAGUGCAGACUCGCGACCCUAACAGUACCUUACUCUUCGUCUGAAUAUCCUGCAACAUGAGACGUUGCAGCCAUAUAGGUCAAUACUUUGUAUGUAUUGGCAAGUUACACAGGAGUAAUAAUAAAGCAGACCUACAUGUAUAUGUAUAGUAUAACAAAAGGAAGGCUUGGGGGUUUAUUUUUGCAGAAAGCUGAUUUUGUCCUCAUAGCUACCUAAUAGUCAAAUUUUUAUUUAGUUCUUUUAUUACUACAAUUAAAUAGACAAGGUUAAGUUGGCAAAAUCAACUCCAACCUACCCCUUAUUAAGUUGCCCAACAAAUUUAUUAAGUGUCACAUCUGUCAAGAUCAUCCAACAACUGUAAUGGCAUAGUGGCUCAAAUUUACCCAUAACCGGGGGCACGGCUAAUCAUGAUUAGUUUUAAUACUCUGCAGAGUUUAGUACGCUUUACCCACUGGACCCAAUCUGAAGAUUGAGACGAAGUCUUUCAGAAGAGGUUCCCUUAACCACCUGACGGCCACAUCCCACCUAUAUAUGCUACAUCUGUCGACACUGUCUGGGCCAGGGUUCCAACAACUGAUCAACUAAGCCAGAGUCCAUAUAGCCAGUGGCCGCACAUGGAAGCUACUAGUCACUAAGUCUGUCUGAUCUUUUUGAACCUGGGCGGCAUUCCACUUAGGGUGCACUCUCAUGAGCGCAUGGCCUUAGAAAAGGUGCAAGACCCCAUGAUGCCUUCCCUCAACACCAAGCAAUACCACUUCCGCCCAGAGGUGAGUUAAAUCCUGAGUUACUACUCAAUUUGUUAAAUAUAUAAUCCUCACAUAAGCUCAAUGAAUACUCAAACCAACCCCGUCUACAAAGCAUAGCAAAACUACAACUACCACGAUCUGCAAUGACGGGAGAUAGCUCAACAAUAUAGCAAAAAUAUAAUAAUCCUAUAAAUGCAUAUAUUCAUAGUGUGAUAUAACUACAUGCAUAGAAAACAAUAGGUAAAGGAUGAUCAACAUGUAACUUGCCUUGGUUCUGGUUCAGAAAGUCACACUCCUGACAAUAGCUCGCGUCGCACUCCGGACAAUCUACACGUUUCACACAAUUCAACAAAUCAAUCACCGGAACACGAAUAGAACCAAAACAAAACCAACAGCAAGAAAACCAUUUUUAAAACUCAACAACAGAAGCUUAACAGCACCUAAAAUGCACUACGAUCACAAUGCAAAAAGAAUCACUCGAUUCCGGUAAACGGUUUGAGAGUUAUGGCCUCCGGAAGAUUUAUUUCAAAUUCAAACGAAUUCAAAUUUGAAAAGUGCAAACAUGUGCAAAGUCGGUACUGUGAUAAUGUGCUGAUUUUUGUGAGAUCAUAGGAAAAAGAAUCACCUAAUUUGGACAUAUAGGUUAAGAGAUAUAGCUAGUUGAAGUUUUGGUGAAAAUCUGAAAAUAAAACAAAAGAAAACUCUGUUCAGGAAACACUGUAGCGGUUACUGUGGCGUUUACUGUAGCGGUGCCAAG
rnacentral:lncRNA from 1 species